UACGGAGGGCGCAAGCGUUGUUCGGAAUCACUGGGCGUAAAGCGCGUGUAGGCGGUUCGGCAAGUCGGCUGUGAAAGCCCGAGGCUCAACCUCGGAACUGCAGCCGAAACUGCCGGGCUCGAGUCCCGGAGAGGGUGGCGGAAUUUCCGGUGUAGAGGUGAAAUUCGUAGAUAUCGGAAGGAACACCAGAGGCGAAGGCGGCCACCUGGACGGUGACUGACGCUGAGACGCGAAAGCGUGGGGAGCAAACAGG
rnacentral:rRNA from 1 species